GAUGAACGCUGGCGGCGUGCCUAAUACAUGCAAGUCGAGCGAACAGACGAGGAGCUUGCUCCUCUGACGUUAGCGGCGGACGGGUGAGUAACACGGGGAUAAACUACCUAUAAGACUGGGAUAACUUCGGGAAACCGGAGCUAAUACCGGAUAAUAUAUUGAACCGCAUGGUUCAAUAGUGAAAGACGGUUUUGCUGUCACUUAUAGAUGGAUCCGCGCCGCAUUAGCUAGUUGGUAAGGUAACGGCUUACCAAGGCAACGAUGCGUAGCCGACCUGAGAGGGUGAUCGGCCACACUGGAACUGAGACACGGUCCAGACUCCUACGGGAGGCAGCAGUAGGGAAUCUUACGCAAUGGGCGAAAGCCUGACGGAGCAACGCCGCGUGAGUGAUGAAGGUCUUCGGAUCGUAAAACUCUGUUAUUAGGGAAGAACAAAUGUGUAAGUACCUAUGCACGUCUUGACGGUACCUAAUCAGAAAGCCACGGCUAACUACGUG
rnacentral:rRNA from 1 species